AUCAAAGAAGGAGGUUUGCCUAGGUAUUUGAGUUGUUUUAUCUUCACCUUCCUUGACAAAUGAGUUAGUUAUAGGAUGUUUCAUUAUUUAUCCUUUGAAUGUCUAAAUUGUUAGAAUCAAAUAUAUUAAUUUAACGAUUGAAUGUUUAAUUGUUAUGCAAACAUUGUUAAGCCAUAAACAUCGUAGCUUCUUAGAUGCAUUUGCUAAUGUUAUGUGAAAUAGGUGACAGAGAAUUAUUGGCUUGAUCUGGAG
rnacentral:misc_RNA from 1 species